ACGGGAGGCAGCAGUGGGGAAUAUUGCACAAUGGGCGCAAGCCUGAUGCAGCGAUGCCGCGUGAGGGAAGAAGGUUUUCGGAUUGUAAACCUCUGUCAUCGGGGACGAUAAUGACUGUACCCGAGAAGGAAGCUCCGGCUAACUACGUGCCAGCAGCCGCGGUAAUACGUAGGGAGCGAGCGUUAUCCGGAAUUACUGGGUGUAAAGGGAGUGUAGGCGGGACUGUAAGUCAGAUGUGAAAUAUACCGGCUCAACUGGUAGACUGCAUUUGAAACUGCGGUUCUUGAGUGAAGUAGAGGUAAGCGGAAUUCCUAGUGUAGCGGUGAAAUGCGUAGAUAUUAGGAGGAACACCAGUGGCGAAGGCGGCUUACUGGACGGUAACUGACGUUGAGGCUCGAAAGCGUGGGGAGCAAACAGGAUUAGAUACCCUGGUA
rnacentral:rRNA from 1 species